GGGACUGAAAGCAGAAAGCGGAGAAAAGGUGAGAGUGUUGAGGCCAGAGCCUGGAGACAGGAACAAGGAGGCUGAACAGGAAACCACUCUCUGGAGUACCACAGAGAACCACAAAAGCUCCAUCCCCUAGGGGGAGGUUUCGGGUAGCAGGGAACAGCAGCAGACGGACCAUGUGUAGGAUUGACACAGACAACCAUCAAGAGCCAUCAAUAAAACCAACAAUUUCUAGUGAUCUUCACUGUUUCUCGCCAAUUAAUUUCUCAUAAUUCUGCAACCUAAUGACUUAUACCAAACCAUUCCAGGAAGAUGUGAGCCAUAUGCUUCUGUAAAGCAUGUCACCUACACUGAGGGGCCAGGAGACAGCAGCCUGCAGCCUGAGGCCACACAGGCUCCCUACCUGGACCACGUCCGUCCACAACAUUCAUCAAUGCCCUCAUCGCCUCUAGACUCGACUGCUUUAAGAGCUCUCUCUAUGGCUAAGAGCUUUCUCUGUGGCUUACCGCACAAAUCCACCAAGAAGCUCCGAUAUCUCCAUGACGCUGCUACCCACCUGCUCACCUCCACCCGGCGCUGAGACCACUUCACCCUGGUCCUUCAGAACCUCCACAAAGCAUUAAUCAGCCUGGCCACACCCCAUCUCACCGACCUCCUCCCCCACCUCUUCUCAGUCUCAACACAUCGGCACAGGUUUAUGAAUGCAGAUACCUUAGAGACCACCACUACCAAGCUCCAGACCUGGGCGUCGGGGCCUUUUCUGCAGCUGCACCCUCCCUCUGGAACACCGUUCCUAACCACUUCAGACUGUCAAACACCAUCUGCCAGGCAGCGUCUCAAAACCCACCUCUUCAAACUAGCUUUCUCUUAUUAAAUAACUCCCCUAGUCAACCA